rnacentral:rRNA from 1 species
UACGUAGGGUGCGAGCGUUAAUCGGAAUUACUGGGCGUAAAGUGUGCGCAGGCGGCCGAGCAAGUCGAGUGUGAAAGCCCCGAGCUUAACUUGGGAACUGCGCUCGAAACUACUUGGCUAGAGUGUGGCAGAGGGAGGUGGAAUUCCACGUGUAGCGGUGAAAUGCGUAGAGAUGUGGAGGAACACCGAUGGCGAAGGCAGCCUCCUGGGAUAACACUGACGCUCAUGCACGAAAGCGUGGGGAGCAAACAGG